AGGACCCGUCUUGAAACACGGACCAAGGAGUCUAACAUGUGCGCGAGUCAUUGGGACUGCAAAGCCUAAAGGCGCAAUGAAAGUGAAGGUCGAUCUUAGCGUCGACCGAGGGAGGAUGGCUCGCGUCACGAUGCGAGUCCGCACUCCCGGGGCGUCUCGUGCUCAUUGCGAGCAGAGGCGCACCCAGAGCGUACACGUUGGGACCCGAAAGAUGGUGAACUAUGCCUGGUCAGGACGAAGUCAGGGGAAACCCUGAUGGAGGUCCGUAGCGAUUCUGACGUGCAAAUCGAUCGUCGGAACUGGGUAUAGGGGCGAAAGACUAAUCGAACCAUCUAGUAGCUGGUUCCCUCCGAAGUUUCCCUCAGGAUAGCUGGCACUCGCUUGAGCGAGUCUCAUCUGGUAAAGCGAAUGAUUAGAGGCCUUGGGGCCGAAACGACCUCAACCUAUUCUCAAACUUUAAAUGGGUGAGAUCUCUGGCUUGCUUGAACGUUGAAGCCACGAGAUAUCAUGGAUCAGAGUGCCAAGUGGGCCAAUUUUGGUAAGCAGAACUGGCGCUGUGGG
rnacentral:rRNA from 1 species